rnacentral:rRNA from 1 species
UACGGAGGGUGCAAACGUUGCUCGGAAUCAUUGGGCGUAAAGCGCACGUAGGCGACCGAUUAAGUCGGGUGUGAAAGCCCCGGGCUCAACCCGGGAAGUGCACUCGAAACUGACCGGCUUGAAUAUGGAAGAGGGUCGCGGAAUUCCCGGUGUAGAGGUGAAAUUCGUAGAUAUCGGGAGGAACACCAGUGGCGAAGGCGGCGACCUGGGCCAAUAUUGACGCUGAGGUGCGAAAGCGUGGUGAG